rnacentral:ncRNA from 2 species
AUCUUAUCAAGAGAAGCUGAGGGACUGGCCCUAUGAAGCUUCAGCAACCGGUCCAUAACGAGUGAAGACCUGGAUUUUAGUUGAUUGUUCAAAGAAGAAAAAAAACCUUAAGUUGUUUUCUAUCCGCAUCUACAAAGCUUGCAGGUGCGGAUAGAAAACAAACAACAGUAUGGUUUACAACCUUUCUAAACAAUUUAAUCUAUCCUACUUAUCCUCCGAGUGCCAAGGUGCUAAUUCCAGCUAAGCAUGUAAGAUGCUUGAAAGAUAAGGG